rnacentral:rRNA from 1 species
UACAGAGGUCUCAAGCGUUGUUCGGAUUCAUUGGGCGUAAAGGGUGCGUAGGCGGCGCGGUAAGUCGGGUGUGAAAUCCCGGGGCUCAACCCCGGAACUGCAUCCGAUACUGCCAUGCUAGAGGAUUGGAGAGGUAGCUGGAAUUCUUGGUGUAGCAGUGAAAUGCGUGGAGAUCAAAGAGGAACACUCGUGGCGAAAGCGAGCUACUGGACAAUAUCUGACGUGAGGCUCGAAGGCCAGGGUAGCGAAAGGG